CUGCUGGGUCUCCCUUUCCAUGGCAAAUGGGCAGCUCCAUCCUCUUGACUCUUCUAAAUGCCCAAAAGAGGUGCCAUGCUUUGGGGGUACGAUGUUUAUACUCCACUGCAACCUCCGCCUCUCAGGUUCAAGUGAUUCGCCUGCCUCAGCCUCCCAAGUAGCUGGNNNNNNNNNNCGCCUCUCAGGUUCAAGUGAUUCGCCUGCCUCAGCCUCCCAAGUAGCUGGGAUUACAGGCACCUACCACCACGGCCAGCUAAUUUUUGUAUGUUUAGUAGAAACGGGGUUUCACCAUGUUGGCCAGGCUGUUCUCGAACUCCUGACCUCAGGUGAUCUGCCCGCCUCGGCCUCCCAAAGUGCUGGGAUUACAGGCAUGAGCCACUGCACCUGACCUGCUGAAUUGUUUAUAAUGGCAAGAAGUAGGAAACCCCCCAAUGUCUGUGAGUAGAGCCACAGCUAUCACGUUGAACCACAUGAAACUGCUGUUUUCUAGGCCAAAAACGGCGAGCGAUCAUUUAUUUCAUGAUUCAACCUGAUACAUUUACACAAUGCAAAACUGUGUCGCAGUUUCAGGCUUUUAUGAGGAAAGUGUUUCUGUGUAGAAGCUGGAAGCUGUUCAGGGCACCGGCGGCUGAACCCUGCUCCGUUGGUCAGCGUUACUAUCAUCUCAGAUCAUAUGGAGCUCAUGUCAGCCGUGCGGGUGGCGGGUGCACAGAGACGGUCUGGAAGGAAACGCGCGGAUCUGAACAGCAGUAAUCCUGGGGGUUAUGGGGGUUGGGUUGGAUUACAGAGGGCUCAUUUUCUACAUCAUGUAUUUUAUGAUACUUGAAUUUUUUGAAAUGGGCAUUUAUUUUAUAACAUGUUAAAAUGUACUUUUUAAAUUAAGUCAUUUUGUAAUAUUUGAAUUUUUACAUUUGUUGUACAAUCAGGAAAAGCAAUAAAGAUUUUUCAAAAAUAGACAUGUCAAGAAAGUUUGCACUCAUUGAGGAUGCUGAAAAUAAGGAUAAAAAUAAGGAGUCUGUGAUAUUUUACAAAUUGACUUCAUUUACAAAUUGAGUCAUUUUACAAAUUGACUUCAAU
rnacentral:lncRNA from 1 species